CGGGGUGUAGCGCAGAUGGUAGCGCGCUUGGUUCGGGACCAAGAGGCCGUGGGUUCAAAUCCCGCCACUCCGACCA
rnacentral:tRNA from 1 species